CGCUGAUCUCCGGAAAAUCCCUUCUGUUGCGAGAGCAUGCUCCUGCAAAUGAGCAAUGGUCUCUCUGACCACCAGGGGAACAGGAGACUGAUCAGGGCUCUUCUCCCGCAGGUGUUGGAGCGAGACUCCAAACUGCUGGUUUGGCAGUGGUGGGCGUGGGGGUGUUGGCUUCUGGGGCACUUGCGAAGGUUUCUGGAGGGAUCUGAGAUAUUCAUCAUACUUCAGCACUUGACUCGGAAUCCCCAACUGUUCCAGCUUUACAUACUCCUCCAGCUCACUAAGGAAGUUCACAUAAAAAAUCUUUCGUCCAAACUUAAAGCUGAUCAGAGGCUUGAACAGAAUCAGAAGGGUCUUGAUGAACAUGGUUGGAUGCACAAUAUACAAGGCUUUGAUGUUCUUCUUGUAUUUGCGAUCAAAUUCCCUGUAGGCAUCCCGCAGCCAGCUCAGGGAUGGCUUGUUCUCACUAGUCAGGCCAUGGUGUAGAUAUACCAGUGUGUAAUCACUUUCCACAUACUGGUCCAGUGUGAAUUUCAG
rnacentral:lncRNA from 1 species